rnacentral:miRNA from 1 species
CAGAGCAGUGGCAAGAACGCAU